rnacentral:rRNA from 1 species
GCAGCCGCGGUAAUACGUAGGGGGCAAGGGUUGUCCGGAAUUAUUGGGCGUAAAGCGCGCGCAGGCGGCCAUGUAAGUCUGAUGUGAAAGCCCCCGGCUCAACCGGGGAGGGUCAUUGGAAACUGGGGAACUUGAGUGCAGAAGAGAAGAGUGGAAUUCCACGUGUAGCGGUGAAAUGCGUAGAGAUGUGGAGGAACACCAGUGGCGAAGGCGACUCUUUGGUCUGUAACUGACGCUGAGGCGCGAAAGCGUGGGGAGCAAA